UGGGGAAUAUUGCACAAUGGGCGCAAGCCUGAUGCAGCCAUGCCGCGUGUAUGAAGAAGGCCUUCGGGUUGUAAAGUACUUUCAGUUGGGAGGAAGGUGGUAAGGUUAAUAACCUUAUCAAUUGACGUUACCGACAGAAGAAGCACCGGCUAACUCCGUGCCAGCAGCCGCGGUAAUACGGAGGGUGCAAGCGUUAAUCGGAAUUACUGGGCGUAAAGCGCACGCAGGCGGUUGAUUGAGUCAGAUGUGAAAUCCCCGGGGUUAACCCGGGAAUUGCAUCUGAUACUGGUCAGCUAGAGUCUUGUAGAGGGGGGUAGAAUUCCAUGUGUAGCGGUGAAAUGCGUAGAGAUGUGGAGGAGUACCGGUGGCGAAGGCGGCCACCUGGACAAAGACUGACGCUAAGGUGCGAAAGCGUGGGGAGCAAACAGG
rnacentral:rRNA from 1 species